GGUGAUUCUCAGGUGACGCACCCCGGAAUGGGGCUCCCCCCCUCUGGUUCCGGGGUGUAUCACCCGAGAACCGCC
rfam:Myotis brandtii contig211142, whole genome shotgun sequence.